rnacentral:lncRNA from 1 species
CUUGCUGAUGCCAUGGUUAAGCGUGAAAUGCCGUGGAUCCAUCAGGCUUAUUUAUAUGCAAAUCACAUUCAUGAGGUAAUUUGCAUGACCAUACAUGGUGAAUUUUGGGUGUGGAGAGGGCGGGGCAUGAAUCAAAUCCCUGCUGCGCAACUUUCCGGCUGGUCUGUGAUUUAUAAAGGGAAAGUGCGUGCAGGUGUGCGUAGGCAGGGUUUUAUAAAUCAGAUUUUUUUUUUGCCUACGCACUUUUAAGCUUUUCAACUUACGUACACUUUUAGUAUGGAUCCUACGCCAGGUUUUAUAAAUGAGGCCCCUGGACAUGUAGCUGUUGAAAUUAUUGUUCACAGUAGGCUAAAUGGGUGUGGCAAAAGAUUCCUCUGUGAAUUUAGCCUUGUAUACAAUAAAAAUAAAAUAAUAAAAACUGAUAUAAAUGAGAAGCUCAUUAAAUUUUAUACCAAAAUAUCCAUAGCCACAGGACUUCAUCCACAUCACAGGCUACAUUCUCUGUGAAAAAUGAUUUUAGGCCACUAAGAAUUAGGCACAGAGAUAUGGGGUUUAGUGUUUUAGCAACUGUGAAAAACUGUAAAAGCUUCACAAUAUUUCUUUCUUAAACACAUAACUCUAUUGUGUGAACCAAAUACUCAGCAGUCUGAACCCAUCUAUUAAGUCAGUCACUCUUAGCAAAACCAUAAGCACUUUUCACCUGGUAAGACACAACUUGCAAACACAUUUUUACUAAGACACAUUGUGCACAUAAUGCACUUGUGUUGCAUAAUGGUAAGCACGGGUAGCAAAAGUUAAACACAUUUGAAGUUAAGGGGGAAAAGGUUAAACACAAUGACUCAAAAUUGAUCAGACUCAUGGCUAAUGAUCUAAGGAAACCAACAUAAGCCAGUUCAGAGAGGUUUUUCCCAUUUGCCUAGACAGGGAGAAUGUGGCCUGUGAUUUGGUUGACGUUCUGUGGCAUUGCCCAGCAUGAGGACAUGAUGCUAUGACUGAAUGAUUGUAGAUACUGUAAGAACUUAAGUUUGAUGUUGUGGUUUAAUGACUACUCCACCUUCCUCUCCGCAACAAAUCUCCACUACAACUUCUCCCAUUCCUCCUCCAUCUUGUUCAAAUGUCUCAACCACUUCAACUGCCUCCCUCCUAGAACACCAGUCCUUGUCUGUCACCGAAACAGGGGUGAGGAUGGAGCUUGGAAGACUUUGUCCUGGGAAGGCAGCUGGUCCCGAUGGUGUGUGUCCAAGGCUGCUUAGAGACUGUGCUGCAGAACUGUGUCAACCUCUCCACAAGAUCUUCAACCUGAGUCUACAGCUGGGGCAGGUACCUGCUCUGUGGAAAACAUCCUGCAUUGUGCCAGUACCAAAAACAAAAUGUCCUGCUGAACUCAAUGACUACAGACCAGUGGCCCUCACUUCACAAAUCAUGAAAACCCUGGAGUGGCUGAUUCUACGUCUUCUGAGGUCUGAGGUCAAAGACAAACUGGACUCCCUGCAGUUUGCAUACAAAUAACACAUUGGAGUGGAUGAUGCUGUCCUCUACAUGCUUCACCCUGCCCUGUCUCAUCUGGAGGAACCUGGGGUUUAUGUGAGGAUCAUGUUCUUCGACUUUUCAAGUGCAUUCAACACCAUCCAACCCACCAUACUAAAAGACAAGCUCACAGAGAUGGGAGUGGAUCCUUCUUGUGUUUCCUGGAUCACAGAUUACCUGACAGGAAGGCCACAGUUUGUCAGGCUGGGGAACUGUGUUUCUGGGACAUUAAUGAGCAGUACCGGGGCUCCACAAGGGACAGUGCUGGCGCCAUUCCUGUUCACACUGUACACGUCAGACUUCAAAUACAGUACUGAGUCCUGCCACAUCCAGAAUUACUCAGAUGACACCGCUAUUGUGGCAUGUAUCAGAAAUGGACAAGAAGCUGAAUAUAAAGAUCCAAUAAGAGCCUUCAGUGACUGGAGUCACAAAAACGUCCUCCUCCUCAACACCUCAAAGACAAAGGAGAUGGUCAUAGACUUCCGCAAAUCCAAACCCCCUCUUCAGCCAGUGAACACCUGUGGAGUGGACAUUGAAGUGGUGACAUCAUGUAAAUACCUAGGUGUACAGCUGGAUAAUAAGUUGGACUGGUCUAAGAAUAUAGACUACAUCUACAGAAAAGGGCAGAGCCGACUUUUUUGCCUGAGAAGACUCUGAUCAAUAGAAGUCUGUAGUAAGACGCUGCAGAUGUUUUAUCAGUCUGUGGUGGCAAGUGUGCUGUUCUACGCUGCAGUCUGCUGGGGAGGAAGCAUCAAACACAAAGAUGCAAGACGUCUCAACAAACUGGUGAAAAAAGGCUGGCUCUGUGGAGGAUGUGGUGGAGAGAUCUACAAUGAGGAAGGUGGAGACUAUUCUCAAGAACAUGGAUCACCCACUUCACAACACCUUGAUGGACCAAAGGGCCAAUGGUGGUGGACGGCUCCUCUCUCUUCGCUGCAUGACAGAAAGAUUUAGAAGAUCUUUUUUACCAACAGCCAUCAGGCUUUAUAACUCUUACGUAAAUAAUAGAUAACUUUUAUAGACCUAUUACGUGAGACAACAGACAAUUGAAUUUCCCUUCAGGGAUCAAUAAAGUUCUUCUUCUUCUUGGCCGUGUGCUUAGGGUCAUUGUCAUGCUGGAAGAUGAAGCGUCACCCCAGUCGAAGGUCUCGAGCUCUCUGGAGCAGGUUUUCAUCAAGGAUUUCAAUGUACUUAGCUGCAUUCAUUUUUCCCUCGAUCCUGACAAGUCACCCAGUUCCUGCCGCUGAAAGAAAUCACCACAGCAUGAUGCUGCUACCACCAUGCUUUGCUGAAGGGAUGGUAUUGUCGAGGUGGUGAGUGGUGCCUGGUUUCCUCCAGACAUGAUGCUUGGCAUUCAUGCCAAAGAGUUCGAUCUUCGUUUCAUCAGACCAGAGAAUUUUGUUUCUCCUGGUCUGUGAGUCCUCUAGGUGCCUUCUAGCAAAGUCCAAGCGGGCUGUCAUGUGCUUUUUACUGAGGAGUGGCUUCUGUCUGGCCACUCUACCAUAAAUACCUGAAUAGUGGAGUGCUGCAGAGAUGGUGGUACUUCAGUAUGGUUCUCCCAUCUCCUCUGCGGAACGCUGGAGCUCUGUCAGAGUGACCAUCGGGUUCUUGGUCACCUCCCUGACCAAGGCUUGCUCAUUUUGGCUGGGCGGCCAGCUCUAUGAAGAGUCCUGGUGGUUCCAAACGUCUUCCAUUUCUUAAUGAUGGAGACCACUGUGCUUUUUGGGAUCUUCAAUGCAGCAGAUAUUUUUCUGUAACCUUCCCCAUAUCUGUGCGCCGAUACAACCCUGUUUCGGAGGUCUACAGACAAUUCUUUCAACUUCAUGGCUUGGUUUGUGCUCUGACGUGCUCUGUCAGCUGUGGGAUCUUAUGUAGACAGGUGUGGCUUUCCAAAUCAUGUCCAAUCAGCUGAAUUUGCCACAGGUGGACUGCAAUCAAGUUGGAGGAACAUUUCAAGGCUGAUCAGUGGAAACAGGAUGCACCUGAGCUAAAUUUUGAGUUUUAUAGCAAAGGGUGUGAAUACUUACGUAUAUGCAACAUUUGAGUGUCUUGUUUUGAAUAAAUUUGCAAAAUGUUCCAAAAAAAGUUUUUCGCUUUGUCAUUAUGGGGUAUUUUGUGUAGAACUUUUGAGAGAAAAAAGGAAUUUAAUCCAUUUUGGAAUAAGGCUGUAACGUAAAAAAAUGUGGAAAAAGUGAAGUGGUAUGAAUACUUUCCAGAUGCACUGUAUCCAUGGAAAACAAAACAAAGCCAACAAUAACAAAACAAAAUAAACAAAGCAAUAACAAAUAACUGACACAAAAGCGCAAGUAAAGAAUAAACAGAUAACAACAACCAAAAAGUAACAAAAAAUACACAAACAACAAAACACAAAGCACAUAUAUAAAAAGGAAAAAAAAAUUGCAUCAAAGAUCUGAUAUACUGUAAUUAGUGAAAGCAUGAACAAGUGAUCUCCAGAUGAGAGGACAGCGCGGUUUUGAAUAGUCAAAAUGAGGUUAUUGAUCGAAUCUGAACAGGUAGAUUGUUCCAAUCAGGAGGUCUUAAGAGGAAUAAAGCAGCUGGCCCUUACAAAAUCAGCCCCUCUGUUCUCCACCACUUCACGAACAUGCCAGGUUUUGUACCUACACCUUUAAAAUCUAUUUUGGUCAAAGCUCAGUUCUUAAGUUCUUCAAAGAGUCCAUUUUCAUCUCAGUUACCAAGCCCAAGAACAUCUCCUGCAUCAAUGACUAUGGACCCAUUGCCUUGACAUCUGCGGCCAUGAAAUCAUUUGAGUGCAUCAUACUCUGUUACCUCCCCUCUCAUUGACCCUUACCAAUUUGCUUACAAAGCCAACAGGUCAGUAGAGGACACAGUCAACCUAGCAAUCCACCACAUACUGAACCACCUAGGGCUCUAUUUUUGUAUCUGCCGGGGAUACGGCGGAGGGUGGUGGACCCCACGCAGUGGUAUUUUUGUCUGGCGGAGCCCGGCGUACAGCCAGUUUGGAAUUUUCGUAGACUGAGGCGCACUGAGGUCCGCCAAGCUGGGCGUGGUGGCGUGGCAGAGGGAGGUGUCGACAGAAUCAGCUGGCGCAGUGACAUUUUCUCGCCGCCGGCAAAUAAAGUGUGCUGAAAGCUCGCCGAUUCAAACCUGGUCAGCUUUCAGCACAGGCGGAGUGCAGCUGGUCUAGUGGUAUUUUGGUAGACCGGCAGCAUAUCCGCACCGAUGCUUCACCGGCAGGUUUCCACAGUUUCAGGCACAUUUCAGUGCAAUAAAUUAUCAACAACAACUAAUAAUCUGAGUCAGCACAUACAUUUCAAUCUAUGGAUAUAUUCUGAUCUAUAUCUGAUCUGAUGAGCGCGUUUGGCACGCGUUUGGACACUCUACCUGACCAGAUAAACACAACUUUAAACCGCAUUAAAUUAAAUUAAAUAUCAAGUAAAUGGUCAUACAUGAUGAAGUGAACAAGAUAUGUAAUUCGUCUCCCUCCUUCUCUUUCUUCCUCUUCCUCUUCUUUCUCACGCAGCUUGACCUGGACAUGUCUCAGCGUCCUCUCCCCGUCCUGCCGCAGCUGCUGCUGCGGCGGCUAAACAGAUGAUUUGUUUCAGUGAUCAGAUGAGUUAUUUACUUUAAGCCUACUUACGAAUAUUAUAAUAUUCAGUUUUGUGAGCCAAAUUUAUUUUAUAUUUUGUCUUACCAACAUUAUGCACACCAAAUCCCUCUGUGCUUAUAUGAGAUAGUGUGCAGGAUGCCCUCUGUAGCGUUUACAGUGACACUCGUUGAGGGGCUGCCUUCUGUCGCCAUCGUGUGGCAUUGCUGUCUUCAGACAUCUCUUGAUCUCUUUGACUACUUCACGAAAAUUGUAAUACGCCUCGCCGGAGGCGGAUUUAAAGGCAAGGAGAGGAGCUGAUGUUAUUGGUCAAUACAGGUCUCGGCUGUGUUAAACCCAAUCUACGCCCUCUCUCCUCCCUCGCUACGACUUACGCCGCUGGGAGGAGCUGAGUUAGGGAGGGGGAAUACUUAUGCCGGGCUGCUCCGCUCACCAAAAUACCAGAUUGUGCUUGGGAACGCCUUGUCGGCGCGGCGGACCUGACUUACCCCAUGCCACGUCUCCGGCGAAGCACGAAAAUAGAGCCCCUAGAGUCCACAAACACAUAUGCCCGUAUCUUGUUCAUGGAUUUCAGUUUAGCAUUUAACACAAUAAACAUGGCCAAACUAUUCAAUAAAUUACUGGACAUGAACACUGAUCCUUGCAUCUGUCACUGGGUUAACAACUUUCUCUCUAAAAGGCAACAGAAGUUGAAGAUCACCAACAGCAUGUCUAUCUCUUCUGACCCUUAGCACAGGUGCACCCCAGGGCUGUGUUCUCCCGCCCUGGCUAUUCUCUUUUUACACUAACCAGUUCACAUCACAUCAAAGUUCUGUUUAAGUAUGUGGACAAUUCCACGAUUGUAGGACUCAUCACCAGCUAUCAAGAAACAGAAUACAGUGUACUGAUCAACCAAGAAGUGACCUGGGGCCUCAUUUAUAAAGCUUGCUUACGCACAAAACCUGGCUAGAAAUUGCGUACGCCACUUCUUACGCAAGAGUUGGGAUUUAUAAACGAAAAACUAAAAGAAAACUCCACACCUUGCUUACACACUUUUUUGAGACAAUCGGAGCAAGGUGAGAAUAGUCCGGGUGAUGCGUUCAGCACAACGGAUGACUCGAUGCAGCCUUUCUGUCCUGAGAGCUGCAGCUGCCAUACCAGGCAGUGAUGCUCGCAGAAAGCACAGACCCCACUGUGGCGGUGUAGAAAGUUUGCCAAUUUGAAUUUACAAAUGUGCAAAAAAACAAAUUCCAUUUACAUGCAUUAGUUUUAAGAUUAAUAUGACUAAAUCUUUUUGGUUUACGAACUUUCACCACAUAAGCAGCGGUGGAUAACGGAGCGUUUUUUUUUUUUGAACACGUGCACGAGUGUCACAUGUGCAUGUUUUUUUUAUUCUCACCUGUCGCCGCCACGCUCUGAUGGUGCAAAGCCACUUUUUUCUUUGCCUCCACCUUUAGAUCAGACCACUUCUUCUUGAUUUCGGCACAGUUUUGUUUUCGUCUACGUCAUCGUCAACGAAAACAAAACUCCACGUGUUUGCGCGCGCGCGUGCGUGUGUGUCUGUGUGUUGGAGGAGCACAGCAGGCUGAUGAGAGCUGUCAGAGCGGACAGAAGCUGCUCCUAUAUGUUUAGCGUUUAACUGACUGAGUUUUGCAACUCUGGUCGUCAUUUUCGUCUCGUCCCAUCAACGUAAACGCACUUUCGUCUCGUCACAUUUUAGUCAUCUCCGACUUAUGUUUAGCUCGUCAACGUUACGUCUUCGUCGUGGAAGAAAAGGGAAAUAUUUCCGUCAACAAAAACAACCAGUGUUGUUCUCGUUGAUGAAAAUAUUUCUUUUUGACGCUGGUGUUGACGAAAAUAUUUGACGAAAUAUGACGAAAACAACACUGUUUCGGCAACGCUGCGCUCAGUGCCAGCCGCAAUUGCCACCACGGCAACUGCGUUUUUAUUGGUGAUGCCACUCGAAUGGCCGCCGAAUAAGGUCUCCCGUCUCGCCGCCACCUCAUUUACAGGAGCCUCCACCUCGAUCUCUGAAAAGUUUCUUUUUCUACGACUUGCUGAUGCCAUGGUUAAGCGUGAAAUGCCGUGGAUCCACCAGGCUUAUCUACAUGCAAAUCACAUUCAUGAGGUAAUUUGCAUGACCAUACAUGGUGAAUUUUGGGUGUGGAGAGGGCGGGGAAGAAUCAAAUCCCUGCUGAGCAUCUUUCCAGCUGGUCUGUGAUUUGUAAAGGGAAAGUGCGUGCAGGUGUGCGUAGGCAGGGUUUUAUAAAUCAGAUUUUUUUUUUUGCCUACGCACUUUUCAGCUUUUCAACUUACGUACACUUUUAGUAUGGAUCCUACGCCAGGUUUUAUAAAUGAGGCCCCAGGUGUACAGACAACAAUUUCCUUCUCAACACAUUAAAAAAAAAUCUUUAAUCUGAGACGCCAGCCAUCCUCCAAAACUUCUGUGCUAAUUAAAGUUCAAUCCAUCCUCGUUACUGACACCUCCAAAUUUCUGGC